GUAGACCUUAACCCUGGGUUAGAACAGUCCGCUGGGCCGGCCAGAAACAUGCCCGAAGUUUUCCGAACCAGGCCCAGCGGGGACAGGCAAGCAGAGACGCUGGAGAGGGGAAGAGAAGAACGCGAUGGAGAAAGAGAACGCGCCGCGCUGGGCGGACGGGCGGUUCCUCAACUGCCACAUUUUAUUUCGGAACGGUUGGUGGUCGGCCCACAGCAGGACGAGGCCCCAGCCGGAGUCUGUCCUCGCGCGCCUGAGAGAGGAAGUCACGUGGCUGUAGCCUGAUCCGCUCCAGGGGAGGCUGCGGUCACGCCCAUCAGCGCGGCGCUCUCUGCCCCUCUCCCUCGCCGGGUUUGGGUUAGGGGCGGAGCUAAGGAUGGCGGUAGGCGCUCGUCUGCGGCCGCGGCUCGAGAGACCCCGCCAGCGGCGCCGGGCGCGUGCCGAGAAGUCUCGCCACGGCACCGGCCGGGCCUGUGCGCGCGAACGGGAGCUGGGUGGCGGGCUCUCGCGCCAGGCUCCGUUCCCAUGCCGGCGAACCGGCGCCGGGAGAAGGCGGGGGACGCCCCUCCGCCCCCGCGGCCGUUUGGCAUGGGCUGCGAAGCAUCCGCCACGGGAGCCGCUGGAGUCCCGCCCGGCGCCGCCCGCCGGCCGGGCGCAGCUGGGGGAAUGGGCGUGGCGCGGGCUCUCAGACCCGCAGGGCAGCGACCCUUGACGCGUAAGCAAGCGGGGGCCCGGGCCAUGCCGUGCGUCCCUUGCACGAGCCUUGGGAGUGGGUGUGAGCGCGCGAGCGACGUGUGCCCCUUUGCUCCUGCGCGUGUCGUUCGGCUGCAGACAGGCUACUGGGCUAGGGGCGAACGAGCCCGCGUAGUGUUCUCUGCGCGUUGCGGAGAGACGCGUGCGAGUUCCCGCCGCGGGGCGGGUAGCCCUGCCCUGCCCUGCCCUGCCCUUGCUGUCUAUUAGAGCGACGAAAUGGGAGAGGAAAUAGCCGUUAUUGAACCAACUGCGGUUGUUGGGGGCUUACGCAGCACGCUUCCGGUCGAGGAGGCUCCUGCUAAUUAUUGCAGGCGUGAGCUAGAAUAGAUGACUCAAGAGGGUUCUGUCUCGGAAAGUCGCCGACUUGGAAGAUAGUUGUUUAGAGUCCACGGUGCUCCCAGCAGGUCCUGUAACCACAGUUUGUGUGGACGGAGGAGCGCAGAAGCGCCCAGUAGAACCUCAGCGGUAGGGACGCUGUGGGAAUGGAGGUUCCUAACGCUGAACAAAAGGUGACGGCGAUUCUUUCCAAAGUUUAUAAUUGAACAUUGACUUAAUACAGCUUUAAGCCUAGAUUAGGGAGAAGAAAAAUGCUGGUUUUAACCCUCGAAACGGUUUCUGUGCUUGUUUCCGUUUCUUACCUUGUCAAACUGCUUCACCUUUUUUUUGGUAGGUCAUUUAACAGAACUGUACUGUAUUGGCUGGGGGGGGGCAGGGGGAGAAGUCUCUGCUGCUUCCUGAUUGCAUACUUCCAAAGGAGGUGUGUGGUUGACCAGUCAGUUCGUAACUCUCCAGUUUGUAACUCUGAGGUUCUUCUGGAGGUAGUUUGUUUGGGUUUUUAAAGUUUUUUUUCUUUUUCCCCCAUUUAUGGCCUGGUUCUGAACUUAGUUAAAUCCGUAACUAAAGAGUAACUCCAAAGACAAUAGAAAAGUUUUGCUUCUGCAAGAUAAGGAUCUGGCUCUUCACAGGUUGUAUUUACUAAUUAUUUUGGUAGCAUUUGAAGUGUGCUAGGGUGUACAAACAAAGAAGUCACAAUCCCUGCUCCAAGGAGCUUACACUUACCUGUUUAUAAUACAAAGGGGUCAAUCUAAACCCCACAACAAGGAGUCCAGUGGCACCUUAAAGACUAACAGAUUUAUUUGGGCGUAAGCUUUCGUGGGUAAAAAGCCACCACUUCAGACGCAUCAUGUUAAUGCGCAUUAAAUGCUAUUACGGCCAAAUCAAGUUAACAGACAUUGUUAAACUCAGGCCUGAUCUACACUUAAAACUUAGGUCGACAAUAGCUAAGGUGCUCACAAGCUGUGCUCCUGUGGUUCCCCAUAGUGUAAACAUGGCUUCAGUUGUUUUGACUGUGCAGAUAAGCCCUAGCACAAAGAUUAUUAGUGUUUCACUCUACAAUGUGGUACCAGUAGGCACCAUCUGGGAUUCCAGGAUGCAGUAGCAAAACCUGAUAGCAUCUGUGAUGAUCUACGAAACCACCCCGACUCAUGCAAAAACCUAGAACAGUUUAAAAAGAUUGUAACUAGGCUUCUGCUCCAUGGUAUAAUUUUGCAUCCAAUACAUUCCGCUUCCUAUAUUAUAGUUUUGCAUGUUAAAGAUAGUUCUGGGAUUUAACUAUAGACUACCAAAUUAGACAAGAAAGUACACCUCUAACUUUAAAUGACUAUUUUCAUAGAAAUACAUACAAUUAUUUUCACCAUAUGUCAUGUAUUAUAAUGGCUCCAGGGGGCAGAUUGAAAUUUAUCAAGUCAAUUACAAUCCUGUCUGUUUUGAUUAACAAUCAGCCAUUAUCUGUUAUGCUGUACAGUAAUAAGUCUUAAGUUCACCAGUUAAGAGACUAAAGGCUUGAUUUUCAGAAGUACUGAGCACCUGCAUUCUCCACUGAUUUGAAAUGGAGUUGUGUGUACUCAGCAUUUCUGAAAAUCAAGCCAUAACACACGAGUAGUGACAAGUACCUUAAUACAUUUUAUGUUCGUUAGGCCCUGAUUCUGCAACCCUUACAAUGAGUAAGUAUCUUAGGAGGAGAUCCAUGAAGGGGCUUAGUCCUUGCAAUGCUGAGCAUCACAAUGCCUAACUUUUAGGUGCCUAGAAAGUCACAGGAACAACACUGCAAUCCAUAAAGUCAAGCUGCACUCCCUAUACAAUGAAUAGGGAUCAGUAGGCAGCUAAGAAUGGAAUCCACAAAAGCUCAGGUAGCCAAUGGGAGGUGCUGACAAGAGGGAUGUGGCCAAAGUCCUGCCCCUCACCAAGAUAAGUGGCUCUCUCUUCUUAGCAAUCCACAAAUGGGAACCAGCCAUCAGGUGUUUUAGGUGACCAAGGCCUUUCUUGUGGGAAUGAGUUAGGUGCUUGCCUUGCUUCACGCAAAAUGGCAGUAAGAGGAACCACCACUGCCUUGCACCUUAUAACUUUUAGCUCACUAGUUGGAGCACACACCUAGAAUGUGGGAGACCCAGAUUCAAUUCUCCCUUUUCUGCCAGAGCAGGAGAAAGAAUUUGAACAGGAGCCCCCCACCACUUGAGAGUGCGCUAACCUCUGGGAUAUUCUGAUGUAGGGCUUCUUUAGUCUCUCCUGUUUCACUGUGGUUAAAUGAUGUAGUGGUGAUUGGAACAGGGGGCCUGGACCCUGGGUCUCCCAUCCCAGACAUGGGUGCUCUAACCACCAGAUAGUAGUGUUAUUGACAUUCAAUACCAUUAGAUGCAAUCCUAUCAAUGAGACUGAAC